AGAGUUUGAUCAUGGCUCAGGAUGAACGCUAGCUACAGGCUUAACACAUGCAAGUCGAGGGGAAACGACAUCGAAAGCUUGCUUUUGAUGGGCGUCGACCGGCGCACGGGUGAGUAACGCGUAUCCAACCUGCCCAUCACUUGGGGAUAACCUUGCGAAAGUAAGACUAAUACCCAAUGACGUCUCUAGAAGACAUCUGAAAGAGAUUAAAGAUUUAUCGGUGAUGGAUGGGGAUGCGUCUGAUUAGCUUGUUGGCGGGGUAACGGCCACAAGGCGACGAUCAGUAGGGUUCUGAGAGGAGUCCCCANAUUGGAACUGAGACACGGUCCAAAACUCCGUACGGGAGGUA
rnacentral:rRNA from 1 species